rnacentral:rRNA from 1 species
UGCAGAGGGUGCAAGCGUUGUUCGGAAUUACUGGGCGUAAAGCGCGUGUAGGCGGCGUCGUUAGUCGGAUGUGAAAGCCCUCGGCUCAACCGAGGAAGUGCAUCCGAUACUGCGAUGCUUGAGUGUUGGAGGGGGUGGCGGAAUUCCCGGUGUAGAGGUGAAAUUCGUAGAUAUCGGGAGGAACACCUGUGGCGAAGGCGGCCACCUGGACAACAACUGACGCUGAGACGCGAAAGCGUGGGUAGCAAACAGG